rnacentral:rRNA from 1 species
AGUGAACGCUGGCGGUAUGCCUAACACAUGCAAGUCGAACGGCAGCACAGUAAGAGCUUGCUCUUACGGGUGGCGAGUGGCGGACGGGUGAGGAAUACAUCGGAAUCUACUUUUUCGUGGGGGAUAACGUAGGGAAACUUACGCUAAUGCCGCAUACGACCUACGGGUGAAAGCAGGGGAUCUUCGGACCUUGCGCGAUUGAAUGAGCCGAUGUCGGAUUAGCUAGUUGGCGAGGUAAAGGCCCACCAAGGCGACGAUCCGUAGCUGGUCUGAGAGGAUGAUCAGCCACACUGGAACUGAGACACGGUCCAGACUCCUACGGGAGGCAGCAGUGGGGAAUAUUGGACAAUGGGCGCAAGCCUGAUCCAGCCAUACCGCGUGGGUGAAGAAGGCCUUCGGGUUGUAAAGCCCUUUUGUUGGGAAAGAAAAGCAGCAGGUUAAUACCCCGCUGUUCUGACGGUACCCAAAGAAUAAGCACCGGCUAACUUCGUG